GUAGGGUCCAAGCGUUAAUCGGAAUUACUGGGCGUAAAGCGUGCGCAGGCGGUUGUGCAAGACCGAUGUGAAAUCCCCGGGCUUAACCUGGGAAUUGCAUUGGUGACUGCACGGCUAGAGUGUGUCAGAGGGGGGUAGAAUUCCACGUGUAGCAGUGAAAUGCGUAGAGAUGUGGAGGAAUACCGAUGGCGAAGGCAGCCCCCUGGGAUAACACUGACGCUCAUGCACGAAAGCGUGGGGGGAGCAAACAGGAUUAGAUACCCUGGUAGUCCACGCCCCUAAACGAUGUCAACUAGUUGUUGGGGAUUCAUUUCCUUAGUAACGUAGCUAACGCGUGAAGUUGACCGCCUGGGAGUACGGUCGCAAGAUUA
rnacentral:rRNA from 1 species